GUACACUCCUGCGGGAGGCAGCAGUGGGGAAUUUUGGACAAUGGGCGAAAGCCUGAUCCAGCCAUGCCGCGUGCAGGAUGAAGGCCUUCGGGUUGUAAACUGCUUUUGUACGGAACGAAACGGCCUUUUCUAAUAAAGAGGGCUAAUGACGGUACCGUAAGAAUAAGCACCGGCUAACUACGUGCCAGCAGCCGCGGUAAUACGUAGGGUGCAAGCGUUAAUCGGAAUUACUGGGCGUAAAGCGUGCGCAGGCGGUUAUGUAAGACAGUUGUGAAAUCCCCGGGCUCAACCUGGGAACUGCAUCUGUGACUGCAUAGCUAGAGUACGGUAGAGGGGGAUGGAAUUCCGCGUGUAGCAGUGAAAUGCGUAGAUAUGCGGAGGAACACCGAUGGCGAAGGCAAUCCCCUGGACCUGUACUGACGCUCAUGCACGAAAGCGUGGGGAGCAAACAGGAUUAGAUACCCUUGUAGUCCCAUGAU
rnacentral:rRNA from 1 species